AGAGCUCGUCUUAAACACAGCCCAAAUGCAUCAGCCAUUUUAAAGAAAAAAAAAAAAGCCAUGAGAGCUGAACUGUGCACUACAAGGCUUAUAACACAGUAGAYGACCUUAGAUCACAUAACCGGCAACAGUGGUGAGAAAAUAGCAGAGAAAACCUCCUGGACAAAGCAGGAAUAGAAGUCCACAUAGUAUGACUUUUUUUUAAGGCAAAAACAACUAUCUUGACAGGGGGCCAGAAAUGAUAGAAAGUGAAAACUAAGAUGCAGAUACACUUAAGGGCCUUGUCCCAACCCACACAAGAAGCCUGGGACAGGGAACUGCUGUAUUACUCUUAGGCCAAGCCUGGUGAGAUCUCCUGUCCAAGUCGGACUACCUAAAAAGGACAGAAAGCUUCUAAGAAGCAGCAGAGAUUUUGUAUAUCACCCUAGCUUCAUAAACUUGGUCCAAGACAAGGCCUGUAAGCCUUCUGAAGGAAGAAGCCACAAUCAGCCCAGACCUGGGCAAUCAAUAAAACAGCAAAUAUCAACACCACCAGGCACCUGUGAGCAAGAGAAUGGUAAAAAGCCAAACAAGUCCAAACCCGCAAGGACAUGACGGCAUUUUCCAGGAACUUGCAACAUCACCUUCAGGGUGGGGAUGAGUAACCAGUGUCCACACCUUGUUGCAUUGUACUCAUUUAUAUGGUUAUGGGAUCAUGCUGGAAUAUCAGCUCCACACAGCUAUGUGGUAAGGACCCCCACGCAGCCCUACGCAUGCAGUUCAAUUCUCACCAACAUGCACAUGCUCUCAUCCUGCUUGCAAAUGGAAGGCAAAUGGAGGCGUCAUGGGGUCUGCAUGGCUGCCAUUAUGCAUAUAAGACAGGGACAGGUAGUAGGCAACCCUUCAUUCUAACAGGCUGUUUAAGAAGGUCCAUGAAAGCAACUGUCUGGAGAGAAUUUCCCACCACAAACAGCCUCAGCACACUCCAGCCAGCCCACAUGAAAGCUGAGCAUGAGGGACAGGCCAAGUAUCUGGUUGGUACAGGCUCCAGCUACAAGUUAAAGUGCCCUGGGCUUGGAGCAGCCACAAAGACAACCGUCAUUACUCAGCAACCCAGCUUGCUCCCAAACCCUGGAAACCAUCUGGAAAGAAAAAAGGUUUUAUCACAAUAGUUCGCCUUGCAGAAGAAAACAAGGCAAAACCACAAGCAAACUAGAGCCAGUCCUUACAAGAAAAAAGAGAGAGAGAGAGAGAGAGAGAGAGAGAACACAGACCAGAAACAGAGUAAACUUCAUAAAAGCAAAACCCCAAAUCACAAAGAAUCUGCCCUUGAGGCAGUGAUGGGAGAUGAGAAGAGCAGAGUGCCUGAAUGCAGAGAUUUUCAGAGCUACCAAAAUAAAGCAGUGAGAAACCCAGCA
ensembl:lncRNA